GGUCGGGAUAGCUCAAUUGGUAGAGCAGAGGACUGAAAAUCCUCGUGUCACCAGUUC
rnacentral:tRNA from 1 species